UACGAAGGGUGCAAACGUUGCUCGGAAUCAUUGGGCGUAAAGCGCACGUAGGCGGCCUCAUAAGUCGGAUGUGAAAUCCCUCGGCUCAACCGAGGAAGUGCAUCCGAAACUGCGAGGCUCGAGUAUGGAAGAGGGUCGCAGAAUUCCCGGUGUAGAGGUGAAAUUCGUAGAUAUCGGGAGGAAUACCAGUGGCGAAGGCGGCGACCUGGGCCGAUACUGACGCUGAGGAGCGAAAGCGUGGGGAGCGAACAGG
rnacentral:rRNA from 1 species